UUAGGCUUACCACUGCCUGAAAAAUUCUACCACUGCCUGAAAAAUAAUCAAAGGCUCAACUUCCACUGAAAAAGAAAAUUCCAAUGAAUGAUUGUUAUGCGAGAAUUUUUCAGAAUAGUCUGUGACCCAUAGCGCUGUGGCCAUAGCGCUAUGUUUAAAGCCCAUAGCGCUGCAGCUGGUAGCGCUAUAUUUAGAACCCAUAGCACUACAGCCGACAACUCUUUGUUUAAAUUCCCACACGUUAAACUGACAGUGCUCUGUUUAACCCUGGAGUGGGACAGGCAGCAUCUCUGGAGAGAGGAAUGGGUG